UACAGAGGUCUCAAGCGUUGUUCGGAUUCAUUGGGCGUAAAGGGUGCGUAGGUGGCGCCGUAAGUCGGGUGUGAAAUUUCGGAGCUUAACUCCGAAACUGCAUUCGAUACUGCGGUGCUUGAGGACUGGAGAGGAGACUGGAAUUCAUGGUGUAGCGGUGAAAUGCGCAGAUAUCAGGAGGAACACCGGUGGCGAAGGCGGGUCUCUGGGCCGAUACUGACGCUGAGGAGCGAAAGCGUGGGGAGCGAACAGG
rnacentral:rRNA from 1 species